AAAGCGAUGACGGCGGUUCAUCACACGGGGAAAAACAGCAACCAUCAUAUACAGACGUCAGUGACAGUUCAUCUGGCAGUUAGAUCACCUUCCGGCUAAAGGAUGGUUCUGUGUUUUGUUCUGGACUGAUAGAACUCUAGUAAUUAGAGUGAAUAAUGAAAUCAGAAUCAAAUUUAUUUUCGCCAUAUAUGCGGGUGCGCAUGCAACGACCACUAUUAUGAUAGCAAGAGUACGUGGAGACCAGUGUGCAAGUCGCAAGAAGAAGACAUAUCGCGUAAGUAUUACAUUUGCUUUACCAAAAAGCACAAGAUUUCAAUACUUCAAAAACGGAUAUGUUUGCAACACUAUUGUGUCGUUCAUUAUUGCUUUCUUCUUUUGUAGUUAAACUAUCGAGAAAAUAACUAUUUAACGGGGAACAAAAUUUAAUCAAGUGGAUAUUGCAUUAGACAGUUCUCGUAAUCGUCAUCUGAACUGCAGAAAGAGUCAAGCAAAAUUGUUCGCGAACGGCGCGUUAAUUGUAAACGGCCCUGUCGCAGUACAGAAAAAAUCGUCAAACGAACUAAGCGCAGGCGACUCGUGGACUGUACAGUUCUAGGAAACAUUUCAGUUGAAUGUUUUCACUGGGGAGGGUGAAAGAAGCGAUUAUACGAAGGCGAAUUGUGAAGAGAUGUCAAAAUCUGCAAUUUUUCUAGCUAUUGUCGAUUCGUCUAAGAAUAAUUAAGGCUGCAUGCCAAUCAAUGUAAAUCAUAAAAUAGAGCAUUUCUGCUGUCGACGUGGAUUUGAUUGGGAAGAACUAGAGUUAGAUCAAAUUCUUCCAAUUUUCGCUCAAUUAACUAAUGACGUUCAACAAUCAAGCAGUUAAGAAUUAAUAAAUUCAUGGUAUAUCAUGAGUGUUUUUUCAAGCGCCGUCUCCUGUGAAGCAUAUCUACCAUUUUCGUGCAAAGCUCUCUGGAAAGCGUAUUGACUGUGUAUGCAUGCAUGCAUCUAUCGAACUUCGUGCACAUAUAGACGUGAUGCUUUGACGAUAAAUACUUAUUAAAAUUCAAAUUAUUUAUUUCUGCCUUGUAAAGGUACAGACAGCAGAGGCGCAGAAAAAGCUGUCAGAUACAGAUUGACAAAGCCGCAGCCCUCUUUCGCUUGGCACAGCCUUCACAGCGACACUUUUAAAACAAAGACAAUUGCACCCGGUAAUAACAGGUAUACAAUACUGAGCAAGUACAAAAGGAAACCAAUCAAGAUUAUACGAUAUUUGUACAAUACUCCCAAACAAGAAAACAGAACCUACAUGCUAACGUACAUAGCACCCAAAGUACUGUUCGACACGUUGAAGAAGUCAAAAUUAUUGUUCACAUAAGGUAUAUACAUAUUCGUAUAGCGCUACCAAUCCCUGCAAAAUAUAGAACGCAGAUUUUCAUUACACACACGCACGCACGCACGUGCACAGCACACACACCAAAAGGAAACGGCAACGCGCUCACAGGAAGCGCCUGAAAAACGAAAAAAAAAAGGAAUAGUGUGGGGAACCGAGGUCGUCUUGGGCUGUCGCCUCUCCCUCUCCCAGAAGGAAUGAAGAGGUUCUUGGAAAGCAGGGACGGGCGAUUCUCUCUGUCAGCAUCAGCUCCCACCAGCGAGGACGGGGCGAGAAAGCGAAACGGGACUUUCCUUGCUGUCUAUUUUUUCUUCGUCAGGCCAACGCCGCUUGCUUGCAGGGGCGCAGGCGAGUUCCCGCCAAAUGGCGCGGGUGCGUGAGUUGCCGCCAAAUGCUAGCUCUGGAUGCCAGCUCGUUCCGCGUCUCAUGGUAGACUAGUUGGUGCAUUUCUGUUAUCAUGGACUGCGCAUAUAAACGCAAGCUACACAAAAGUGACAUGGACAAGAACAGCGCAAGCCCUUUACAUGCAGUGGAGCCGCCGUAUCUCGCCGUUCAAGAUAUGCGUACUCGAAAAAAAAAAAAAAAGAGAGGCUUUACAUGAGAACGGAUCAAGCGUUCGAGAGUUGGGACAGGGAAAUGUGAGACGUACGUAUGUAUAUAUUUCUAAUAUUAUUUUUUCGUCUUGUAUUCUCGUUAAUUUUUCUCUAGGAAACACUGGAACGACACUGCUUAAAUUGAAGCACAGUGUGCGAAUGACCUGCUACGCUCGGAACUGUUAUCACCAUUCGGGAAGAAAUUGGGUAAGAAUGGAUUGUGUGUGGCGCGCUUCACCGCAUGUGGACUAGAGUAGAUCUAGGAACAUCAGACAAGAAGACACGUAUGUGAAACCCUGCGGAUAGCCCAUAUGUGAACUUUUUUUCCAGAUACGGAGGAACGGACACCGGUCAUGCCGUGCGCACUCUUCUGCAGGGCAUACUUACAAAUGAAGCUGCACUGCAGUUCAGCUGGAAAGGGUCGCAGGGGAGGAAGCACGCCUUCGUGAAGCUCAUGGCCAUCACGAAUAUAACAUCUGUGAGGAGCACGUUCCCUGACGCUUCACUAGCAUCAGUGGCUGGAGUCGCAAAACGCCGGUUGGUUGGAGCAGCUGACAGGGAUGGAGGCCGGAAUGAAAGAAGGCGCCGUGACCCUGCUUCAAGCCCACCAAAUAUGAACUAGUGUUUGAAACUUGUGAACGUGUCGGUGUACAUAUACAAUUACAAGAAAUAAAGACCUGUAUCAGAA